rnacentral:rRNA from 1 species
UACGUAGGGUGCGAGCGUUGUCCGGAAUUAUUGGGCGUAAAGGGCUCGUAGGCGGUUUGUCGCGUCGGGAGUGAAAACCCAGGGCUUAACCCUGGGCUGGCUUCCGAUACGGGCAGACUAGAGGUAUGCAGGGGAGAACGGAAUUCCUGGUGUAGCGGUGAAAUGCGCAGAUAUCAGGAGGAACACCGGUGGCGAAGGCGGCAUCCUGGACCGGCAUUGACGCUGAGGCGCGAAAGCCAGGGGAGCAAACGGG